rnacentral:rRNA from 1 species
GAUGAACGCUGGCGGCGUGCCUAAUACAUGCAAGUCGAGCGAACGGACGAGAAGCUUGCUUCUCUGAUGUUAGCGGCGGACGGGUGAGUAACACGUGGAUAACCUACCUAUAAGACUGGGAUAACUUCGGGAAACCGGAGCUAAUACCGGAUCAUAUUUUGAACCGCAUGGUUCAAAAGUGAAAGACGGUCUUGCUGUCACUUAUAGAUGGAUCCGCGUUGCAUUAGCUAGUUGGUAAGGUAACGGCUUACCAAGGCAACGAUGCAUAGCCGACCUGAGAGGGUGAUCAGCCACACUGGAACUGAGACACGGUCCAGACUCCUACGGGAGGCAGCAGUAGGGAAUCUUCCGCAAUGGGCGAAAGCCUGACGGAGCAACGCCGCGUGAGUGAUGAAGGUCUUCGGAUCGUAAAACUCUGUUAUUAGGGAAGAACAUAUGUGUAAGUAACUGUGCACAUCUUGACGGUACCUAAUCAGAAAGCCACGGCUAACUACGUG